AUGGUACCAAUUUAUAUACUUGUUCCACUAGUUAUGCUUACCGAUGCGAGGGAAAUUGCAUUUUACAUCUGGUCUAAUUGGUUUAAAGUGACCUUAAUAUGUCAAUAUGCAAAGCAUGGUUCUUGGCUACAAAUUGGUGCCAUCCAGAGAUGCGUUAAUUAUGUGCUACAGAGCGAGAUAAGGAAUUGGGAGGAGAAAAUGGGCCAGUCGUCAGUUUUGAUGCUCCACCCAAGCAAAAGUCCGAUGGCUCUUCUUCGGCGUCUCAUUUAUCAGUCAAGCCAAAAUACGAAGACACCAACUGCAGUCAAAUCUGCUAUUGUCGGUGCAUUGAGAAAAGGCUACGAGAGAGGGCAAAUCAAUGGUGAUUUAGCCUCUUUCCAAAGGAUCCUACAUCUGCAAGACGAGGACAAGAUCAUUUGGACAUUUGGGGAAAGAGGUACAGCUGAAAUCAUGCUUGUGUGUCACAUUGCCACCACAAUCCUUGGAGCAAGGUUACCAACACAUCAACCUCCAGCCUACUCUGAACAUAUGUCUGCUGCAAAUCACAUAUCGCAAUAUUGCGCCUACCUGGUGGCACACUAUCCUGAGCUACUACCUGAAGAUGAUGAAUGGUGCAAGAGCCUGUACAAGGCCGUCGAGAAAGACGCCAAGCGUGUACUCGCCGGCAAUGAUUCCAUGGAGUCGGAGACAUCUGAACUGGACUACCAGAGGAGAUUGAUUCAGCUGCUAAGCGCAGAGCGUAACCAUAAGGUGCUCAAGGAUGGCGCGAGGCUUGCAGAGCAAUUGGCUGAAGAAGGGGAGGAAGCAGCUUGGAAGGCCCUCGCUGCGUUUUGGUCGGAGAUGAUCCUGUAUGUCGCUCCGUCGGACAACAUCGACGGUCAUAUGGAGGCGAUCGCCCGCGGCGGCGAGCUGGUAACCCUCCUCUGGGCUCUGGUCACCCACCUCGGCAUCGUCGGCAGGUCAGACAACACCACUGAUGCUGCUACCGUUGACGUUUAA
rnacentral:rRNA from 1 species